UGGUGGAGUGAUUUGUCUGGUUAAUUCCGAUAACGAACGAGACCUUAACCUGCUAACUAGUCUUACUCAUUUCAUGGGUAUUGACUUCUUAGAGGGACUAUGUGAUUAUAAGCACAUGGAAGUUUGAGGCAAUAACA
rnacentral:rRNA from 1 species